CCGUCUGUCACUGAAGUACGUUUUAAAUUUCAGCGCACGCACAAUCGUUCGAUUCGUCAUCGUUUGAAUUAAAACGCUGAUAUACGGUAUAUGAAUGAACCUCCCCCCCACACUAUAUUAGAAUUGUUCACAUUUCUCUAAUAAUUUGUUUAAAAAUUUGUGAAAAAUGAUGGUAGAAGAAAUUUUAAUCUCUCAGUUUUGACUAAAAACCUCUGUAAAAAAAAAAAUUGCACUCGUUGAAGUGUACAAUAAAAGGUUUCUGCUUGGAGCCAUGAUUUUAUGCAGGUCGUUCGAGAAGCACACCACGACGUCAGCGCUGCCUCUUGUUAAAACCCCCAUACUGUGUAUGCCAUUAGUGCUUAAUGUACGUUUGAAAGGAAUCGAGAAUGUAACUCUUUAGAAAAGUGUUUUAUUUCUACUGCAUGGCGAGAAGUUGUAGAUUUGUAGUGGGCUACUGGUUGAUAUAUGAGAAAGGAUCCAGUCCCGGUGUUGUUCUAAUCACGUCAGUGAUGUCAGGUGGAAAAGAUGGCUUACUUCCUCACUCGUUGCCAGGAGCAGAGAGCAGCACUGCACAGCCCAUUCUUUAAGCCUCUCUCUGUACGAAAUUCGGCUUGUUUAUUUGUUCACCUUCUCCAGAGUGCUUUAUUUCAGGUGGUUUUUGUCAUGCCAGCAAACACUCUCAACCUCGACGUUGCUGUAAAUGGGAGACAGUUUGGGCGAUGUUUGCUUCUUUGUUCAUGUUCAGUCAGAACACUGCGUUUGGCCUCAGGCUGGCAGUCCUACAUGCAAACGCGGUCCUCGUCUUUAACCUUCGUUUGACAGUAAAAAUCAAAUCGCUUUCUUUUGUUUACUGCACUCAUACAGACGUACCGAAUCAAGAGUGACUGUGCCACGUCCAAUAAUGUCUGAGUAACAGAGUCACGACAUGGGAGAGAAAGAAGUAUGUUUCUAAUAAGUCAUUCAUUUCAUUAGAUCAUUUCAGCCAUCUAAGCCCAGUUAAAGUCUCCAGUGUUUCCAAUGUACCUGCAUGACUUAUGUGUUUUUCUGUGUAGUUACGGUUUAAAAACCCCGAUCCAAAAUAACUGGCUGAUUCCAAAAAGCUCUCUCAACACGACUAGUGUAGGUGUAAUACCGGAUGAAACACCAAUGAAAAAUAACUAGCUCUCCAGCCCGCCUUCAUCAUUUCACGAUGGUGGGAAACGAAUCCUUUGGAUUUUGGACGUAGGGAUAAUCUGAAGCAUAAAACGUGGCGAGCACAUCACACGCGACACUCUCGCCAAACUUAUUAACGAAAUCAAAAAG
ensembl:lncRNA